AACGAACGCUGGCGGCAGGCCUAACACAUGCAAGUCGAGCGCGCCCUUCGGGGUGAGCGGCGGACGGGUGAGUAACGCGUGGGAACGUGCCCUUCUCUGCGGAAUAGCCUCGGGAAACUGAGAGUAAUACCGCAUACGCCCUUUGGGGGAAAGAUUUAUCGGAGAAGGAUCGGCCCGCGUUGGAUUAGGUAGUUGGUGGGGUAAUGGCCCACCAAGCCGACGAUCCAUAGCUGGUUUGAGAGGAUGAUCAGCCACACUGGGACUGAGACACGGCCCAGACUCCUACGGGAGGCAGCAGUGGGGAAUCGUAGACAAUGGGGGCAACCCUGAUCUAGCCAUGCCGCGUGAGUGAUGAAGGCCUUAGGGUUGUAAAGCUCUUUCAGCUGGGAAGAUAAUGACGGUACCAGCAGAAGAAGCCCCGGCUAACUCCGUG
rnacentral:rRNA from 1 species